AUGGCUCAGUAUGGCCGUGUGUACAAGGACACCACUGAGAAGGCACGUCGGUUCGAGGUUUUCAAAGGCAACGUCGAGUUCAUUGAAACAUUCAAUGCCCAGAAUCACAAGUUCUGGCUUGGCGUCAACCAAUUUGCUGAUAUCACAAAUGAUGAGUUCAAGACAACCAACACAAACAAGGGAUUCAAAGCAAACUCCAUGAGAGUUCUUUCUUCUGGAUUCAGGUAUGAGAAUUUGAGUUUGGAUGCCCUUCCAGCAACGAUGGACUGGAGGGCCAAGGGAGCCGUCACUCCUGUCAAGGAUCAAGGCCAGUGUGGUAAGUAA
rnacentral:rRNA from 1 species